UAAAAGGUGGAACUAAGGGGCUCCCAGCAGCUGCCAAAGCCAUUUUGCUUUGGGGAGUCUCCUCCUUCCUUACCUGCACUUUAGGGAUUACCCCACCUCUGUUUGCUUAACUAAUGAGACAAUAAAUGCAGUAAUGUGUUGAUGUUAUAAAUUGUUUCUUGGGGAUGAUCUUGGCUAAAUGUGUAUCUAAAAGAUAAAUUUUUUUAUUAUAACAAUCUGGUAUCUGAAUGGGUUUCUAAAGCAUUGCACUAUCUUGCAGUUAAAAGUUGGGUUUAAGCAAUUGUUUAGUUUGAUUUCAGAUAGUUCAUGCUAGAAAACUUAAAUACUUAGGGUAAAAAAAUUAGAAAGUUUCAAUUUUGAACUGGGUAGCCUGAGAAAAUUUCACUAGGUAUUCCAGUGCAUUAACUUGGGCAAAGAUAAUAAAUUAUGAUAUGAUAUCUGUUCCCCUCAGUGUGUAAGAUUCAAGGAAAAAAAAGGGGGGGGGGCUAAAUUAAAACGUUGGUCUGGCUUAUUGAAAUGACGUUAAUUAGCAACAGUCUUGGAAAUUUUUAAGGCUUAAUUUUGGAUAUACAUGAUAAAACUUAAUACUACUUUAGGAACUUCAGAACAAAGGAAGCAGCUUAAUGAUCCUGAGGAAAUUUCCUCUGAUGGUGGCCUUUAUAUUAUCAGAAAAAGAUCCUAUUUUCAGUUUUGUGUGAGCAAGUGUUUCUAAUGUAAAGAGAUAUAAAGAUAUAAAAUUUUGAGAAUUGCAUCUUAAACCUGAAAAUUAUGACUUAUAGCUAAAAUGCCGUAGGCAUGAGGUUUCUGCUCAGAAUUCCAUUUUUCCCAGUUCCUUCCAGACCUCAGCCAGGACUUAAGCUGAUAUGCAAAUAGAAGAAGCUUGGGGCACUCAGCAGGAGACAGAUUUCAGGCCCAAUGGAAAAAAAAAAAGAGUUAAAGUGUCUUUUUACCUGAACUCAAACUAGACCCCAACCAAAAAGUAAAUUAUAUGGUAUUUACUAAUUACUGGCCAGUCAUCUUUUUUUAGGACUCUUGCUUUUUCUUAGAUUCUGUAUUUUUUUUUUUUUUGAGCUCAUGAUUUUGGUCCUACAGACCUAGGUUAAUGUUUUUCUGCUCAACUGUGGAGUUUUGAAACAUUGCAAUGGAGAUUUCACCUGAAAAAGCUACAAGGGUGUUACACUUGUGUUAUGUGUUGUAUGUCGGUGUGUCUGUAUGUGUGUAUGUCCAUAUAUCCUGCAGUGAUAUGACAAUUGACAGAUGAGGAGCACUCAUAAAAAAAUUUAAAAAUGGAUCCAAAUAUCUUUGAUUCACGUGAUUCAAAUGGUUCAAUUUAAAUUGGGUAAACAGAUAAAAUGUUGAUGUCUGUAAAAUAAUCUGCUUAAAUUCAGAAAUUUACAGAUAUUGUUUUAAAGUGUGAACAGAAGGAGGUUAACAGAUGGAAAAAAAACUAGAAAGUUUUAGGUAUGGAUUUAAUAGAGGGAAAUGUGUUUCUGGAUAAGAGAGUCUAUGUGAUUAAGUAAUUAAGAAGGUUUAAGUAAGUGAUAAAAAAGGUUUGUGUAAGUUGGUUAUGUGUGUAAGUUUUUGAGCAAAUAAUCUUAAAGAAAUUAAAGAUUAUACAACUAUGGUUAAACAACAGCAGUUAUUUUUCAAUAUUGUAAUGUUGUUACUUUAAAAGCUAACCUCGGUUAAUAUAAAAACAUCAAUGUAAUUAUGGUGCUAUUAAUGUGUUCAUAUCUUCCAGGUAUACAAGUCUAUAAGGUAGAAGCUUCAAAAGAACAUUGUAUCAAGCUGGUGUUCUAAAGUUGUAUGGUAAUUUUAGGCUUAAAAGAAAAAAAAAACAUGUUGGAGAUUUACUCAUAUCAUUUGUGUUCUACAACUGGACUUGUUAUCAAUAAGAUAUGUACGGUUCCAUGUUACUUUCUACUCUGAGAUACAAUUUAUGUAUUUUUAAGUUAAUGAGAGCCUAAUCUGUGUGAAGGUUUUAUUGCAAAACACAAAAGUACAUUACUACAUUUCUACAAG
rnacentral:lncRNA from 1 species